UACAGAGGUCUCAAGCGUUGUUCGGAUUCAUUGGGCGUAAAGGGUGUGUAGGUGGCGCGCUAAGUCGGGUGUGAAAUCUCGGGGCUUAACUCCGAAACUGCAUUCGAUACUGCCGUGCUUGAGGACUGGAGAGGAGACUGGAAUUUACGGUGUAGCGGUGAAAUGCGUAGAUAUCGUAAGGAAGACCAGUGGCGAAGGCGGGUCUCUGGACAGUUCCUGACGCUGAGGCAGCGAAAGCCAGGGGAGCAAACGGG
rnacentral:rRNA from 1 species